GGCUAACGCUGGCGGCGCGCCUAACACAUGCAAGUCGAACGAACCCUUCGGGGUUAGUGGCAGACGGGUGAGUAACGCGUGGAUAAUGUGCCUUCUUGCUGGGGAUACCGUUUCGAAAGGAACGUUAAUACCGUAAUGUGCUCAUUUGGUCGCAUGGCCGAGUGAGUAAACUUUCAGGGCGAGAAGAGCAGUCCGCGUUCUAUCAGCUUGUUGGUGGGGUAACGGCCUACCAAGGCUACGACGGAUAACUGGUCUGAGAGGAUGAUCAGUCACACUGGAACUGAGACACGGUCCAGACUCCUACGGGAGGCAGCAGUGAGGAAUCUUGCACAAUGGGCGAAAGCCUGAUGCAGCGACGCCGCGUGAGGGACGAAGGCCUUCGGGUUGUAAACCUCUGUCAGUGGGGAAGAAGAAUGACGG
rnacentral:rRNA from 1 species